rnacentral:rRNA from 1 species
GACGAACGCUGGCGGCGUGCCUAAUACAUGCAAGUAGAACGCACAGUUUAUACCGUAGCUUGCUACACCAUAGACUGUGAGUUGCGAACGGGUGAGUAACGCGUAGGUAACCUGCCUGGUAGCGGGGGAUAACUAUUGGAAACGAUAGCUAAUACCGCAUAAUAUUAAUUAUUGCAUGAUAAUUAAUUGAAAGGUGCAAUUGCACCACUACCAGAUGGACCUGCGUUGUAUUAGCUAGUAGGUGAGGUAACGGCUCACCUAGGCGACGAUACAUAGCCGACCUGAGAGGGUGAUCGGCCACACUGGGAAUGAGACACGGCCCAGGACCCUUCGGGAAGCAGCAGUAGGGAAACUUCGGCAAUGGACGAAAGUCUGACCGAGCAACGCCGCGGGAGUGAAGGAGGUUUUCGGAUCGGAAAGCUCUGUUGUAAGGGAAGAACGGGUGUGAGAGUGGAAAGUUCACACUGUGACGGUAUCUGACCAGAAAGGGACGGCUAACUACGUG